UUCCUUCUAUCAAUUUUCAGAGCCCCCACUUUCUUCCCUCUUUCAAUGAUUCAGGGAGCGGCGAAUGCAAUCGUCUUCACCAUCCGAGUCAACAAGUUCUUCUUCCCUCCAAGUCUCGCUAUCAUCAAGUUCUAACCAUGGUUGGCAUAAGGAAGACGGAAACCAAAGAUGGGCGGCAUUUCCGUUCGAACACAACAUCUGGUAUCGGGAUGCAACAGGUGAAUGAUAACCCUUAAAAUAAGUGUACUGCGAAAUGAAAACGGACAAUAAACUCUCAGGCUACUGAACCCAAAAAUUCCGGGAGGGAGUACUGCAGAGGUUGAGAACCAAAUAUUGUUCAACCUUGAUGAAUGCAGUAAACAAUCAUGAAUACCUCAACAACAAGUGCAUCACUGCAAGAUAUUACGAAGAGGCUUGCAUAUACAAUGAUAUUGAUGUUGAAAAAAUAUUGCAUAUUACCUAAAGAAGAAGUAAUGUAAUUGUUGGUUAAUGUUUUAGAGUUUCGAUAGAACCAUACUCUUGAAAUUAAUGCUACCGAUUUGAAUUAUGUUCU